UUCAGAGAUGCGUAUGCUCUGGAUAUGGCUGUCUUGCUUAGCGGAGCUAUGAUCGUUGAUCGAACCGUUUCCAUAUCCAUGUACGGUGUCUAUUUACAUGAAUCUAACCAUCUCACACCAAAAGAAGAAGACUAUAGUGUAACGGCCACUCGUUCGGAUGCUUUUGCUUCAUCACCUGGAGAAGUUGUAACC